GAUGUUGACCUCUGCGCCAACAACCCAUGUCCUCCAAACUGGGGCUGCGAUGACUUUGGUUACUACUUCAUCUGCAACGGCUAUGGGCGUGCGGACCCAGGCCCGUACCGCUGUGAGAGCUUCUCCUGUCCGUUCGGCUGGUCCUGUCAGGACGUGGGGCAGCUCUCCUUCACGUGUGGCGCACACGCCUAGAGUCCCACACACGGACUCCGCCUAAAGGAGCAGGACUUAAGAAGAGUCGCCACCCUGUGGAUGCAUCUCACUCCUCCUUCAGCAGCUCCUGAGCUUAGUGCUAUGCUAUUGGCAGAAUUAGUAGCUUUGGGCGAAAGCAAUAAAAUGGUUAAACCUGAA